UACGGAGGGUGCGAGCGUUGUUCGGAAUUACUGGGCGUAAAGGGCUCGUAGGCGGCCAACUAAGUCAGACGUGAAAUCCCUCGGCUUAACCGGGGAACUGCGUCUGAUACUGGAUGGCUUGAGGUUGGGAGAGGGAUGCGGAAUUCCAGGUGUAGCGGUGAAAUGCGUAGAUAUCUGGAGGAACACCGGUGGCGAAGGCGGCAUCCUGGACCAAUUCUGACGCUGAGGAGCGAAAGCCAGGGGAGCAAACGGG
rnacentral:rRNA from 1 species